rnacentral:tRNA from 1 species
AGCUCAGUUGGAUAGAGCGUCCCGCCACAAAGCGGGAAGGCCACCGGUUCGAAUCCGGUAUUCUCCA